rnacentral:rRNA from 1 species
GACGAACGCUGGCGGCGUGCUUAACACAUGCCAGUCGAACGGAAAGGCCCUGCUUUUGUGGGGUGCUCGAGUGGCGAACGGGUGAGUAACACGUGAGUAACCUGCCCUUGACUUUGGGAUAACUUCAGGAAACUGGGGCUAAUACCGGAUAGGAGCUCCUGCUGCAUGGUGGGGGUUGGAAAGUUUCGGCGGUUGGGGAUGGACUCGCGGCUUAUCAGCUUGUUGGUGGGGUAGUGGCUUACCAAGGCUUUGACGGGUAGCCGGCCUGAGAGGGUGACCGGCCACAUUGGGACUGAGAUACGGCCCAGACUCCUACGGGAGGCAGCAGUGGGGAAUAUUGCACAAUGGGCGGAAGCCUGAUGCAGCAACGCCGCGUGCGGGAUGACAGACUUCGGGUUGUAAACCGCUUUCGCCUGUGACGAAGCGUGAGUGACGGUAAUGGGUAAAGAAGCACCGGCUAACUACGUG